CGGCCCUCCCUGGAUUCACACACACACACACACACACACACACACACACACACACACACACACACACACACACACACACACACACAAUCCAACCUGGAGAUUCUCCAUCCUCCAACCUGUGGAUCCUCCUAACCUGCACUUUCGGUGUCCUCGUGGGGUCGAGCAUGACCCCGACCACAACCCCCCCACUGCACAUCCUCACCCACUUGUGGGGUCAGUCGAAAACCCUCCUCCGUUGCCCUCGUGGGGUCUAAAAAUGAGAGCUGCGUGAGGGUUAAGAUGAUCACAUUUUAACCCAAACUAUCGUAUGAAAUUUAACAACUUUAAAAGUCACGUGAAUUUUAAAACAAACUUAUUCUAUGGGCACAUAGCCUAUGGAAAUCAAGGAGGUUCAGUUAUUUCGACAAUUUUAUUGAUUUUCGGAACUAGAGACUUGAUGUCGUGUCCGUGUUUUCUUUUGCAUGUUUUUAACAUCGUAGUGUCCAACGCACCUUGAAUACCGCAGCGGCAGAAGGAUUCGGCCUCAUUGAACAGGUUGAAUCCGCUCCUGAACCGUAGCGUCCAACUCGCAGACAGGCCGGUGAAAAAGCUUGGUCUAUUGGCCAGUCUCUGCACCACCGGAGUCUUUUACUAGAUGGGUAACAUUUUGAACUCGCGUUUCUUAUUUUCGCUCUAAAAACGAUAAUUACUGUAUGUCUGGGCGACACUGAUACAUGCUGGCAAGCAGAGGCAAGAGAAGCAUCUCCUACAACUGCAGGGGUUUCCUUUGGUUAAACAAAUUCUGUCUCUGCUCUUUAAAUUUGUUUCGGUUUGUUCCGUGUAAUUCUAAUUUAACUAUUGGUUGAUUACUAUUUUUGUUUCAGGUGCCCCAACCAACCUUCUUAUCAAGCCUCUCUUCCACCGCUACCACCUCUUAGCAAGCCUCUGGUGGGACGGGUUCAUCCUCUGCGCUGAGACUUAAUUAUGAUAUGCCACAGCAACGUCAGCCCCAAGUAUUGGCUGAGGUGGAGUCAACUUUAGCAGCAGUGAUGCAGCAUCAUAAUGCACAUACCAAGAUCAUAAGGCGCAUAAACCAACCUCAUGUUAAGCCAACACCUCCGUCUCCUGCAGAGGAGCUCCGCAAUGGGGAAAUCUACAGAGACUGCGCCCUACAGAACCUCGCAGCGCAGAUGAAGGCACUCCCUAAAGUUGUGGGCUGUGAGCUGCCACCUACUCGGGAUUUGCUGGUUAUAGACGGACAUGGAUCUACUCUGCAGCUUGCAUUAUUACACGCCAAGUGUGUGUUUCACUGUUUGAUAAAGGGAAGGGAACAAACUCAAUACUUGGUGGAGGAAAAGGUUGUCUGCAAUACAUCUGAAUCUGAACUGUGA
rnacentral:lncRNA from 1 species